AGCCUAAUGAUACAUUAUAUUAGGUUAGCUCUGCCCAGUGAAAUUUUAACGGCCGCGGUAUCCUAACCGUGCAAAGGUAGCAUAAUAAUUUGCCCCCUAAUUGAGGGCUAGAAUGAAAGAGUAAACGAGAGUUAUACUGUCUCAAACAAGAUCAUAUAAUCUAACCCUUAAGUGAAGAGACUUAAAUUAAACUAAAAGACAAAAAGACCCUGUCGAGCUUUAAUAAAAUUAAUAUACACUUUAAUAUUAAAACCUAUUUUUGUUGGGGCGACAAAGGAGCAAUUAAAACCUCCUAACUAUACAGACCCCUUGUCAAACAAAUGACCCUUAUAAUUGAUCAUUGGACUAGCUACCGCAGGGAUAACAGACUAAUUUUCUUUUCAAGCCCUUAUUAACAAGAAAGUUUGGCACCUCGAUGUUGGCUUAGGAGUUCUUCUAAGCGCAAGAGCAUAGAAAGAGGGUGUGUUCACCCCUUAAAUU
rnacentral:rRNA from 1 species